rnacentral:snRNA from 1 species
AUACUUACCUGGCAGGGGAGACACCAUGAUCAGGCAGAUGGUCUUCGCAGGGCGAGGCUCAUCCCCUGCACUCCUGGUGUGUUGACCCUUGAAAUUCCCCAAAUGUGGGAAACUUGACUGCAUAAUUUGUGGUAGUGGGGGACUGCAUUCGCACUUUCCCCUG